UACGGAGGGUGCAAGCGUUAUCCGGAUUUACUGGGUUUAAAGGGUGUGUAGGCGGGCUUUUAAGUCAGUGGUGAAAUCUCCGGGCUCAACCCGGAAACUGCCAUUGAUACUAUUAGUCUUGAAUUCUGUUGAGGUAGGCGGAAUAAGUCAUGUAGCGGUGAAAUGCAUAGAUAUGACUUAGAACACCAAUUGCGAAGGCAGCUUGCUAAACAGAUAUUGACGCUGAGGCACGAAAGCGUGGGGAUCAAACAGG
rnacentral:rRNA from 1 species